GCAAACUUGGUCAUUUAGAGGAAGUAAAAGUCGUAACAAGGUUUCCGUAGGUGAACCUGCGGAAGGAUCAUUAUCGAGCCCGCCGCGGACCCGGCCGUUUCCCCAGAGAGAGCGGCCGGCCGCGGCGCACCGGCCCCCUACCAGUGUCUACUAUACCUGUUGCUUCGGCGGUCGUCCGGGCCGGCCGCGCCCGCCGCCGCCGGAGGUUGAAAUCUAGAAUAGUGUAUAUUUUAGCUACGGAAAGUCUGAGAUAGCGGCCGGCCGCCCCUAAGGGGAAGCCGUGUCAGCGAGUUUUAUAAUAAUUAGAAAACUUUCAACAACGGAUCUCUUGGUUCCAGCAUCGAUGAAGAACGCAGC
rnacentral:misc_RNA from 1 species